rnacentral:misc_RNA from 1 species
UUGUUCAGUAUCUCAGACUAUGUACCAUCCUCUUUCUUACAACUAAAUUUACAUUUCUGCAGCGAAGGAUUUACCACAACCGCAUGUCUGCGUUGCAUUGGGGUUCUUGAACGAAAAGCCUCCGCCAAUUAGCGCGCUGCUGAAAUCAAGCUGCAUACCAUAGAUGUAGAGAAGGCUCUUGGGAUCACAAACUAUAGCAAAUCCAUCGUAUUCAAUAACAGAGUCAUCAGGUCUUGCAUUUGCUCGAUUCUCAAACUCCAUAGUAUAGGACAUGCCAGAGCAGCCCCCUUGUUUGACGCCAAUUCUUAAGCAAAGGUCUUCAUUCUUCUCAAUCCUCAUCUUAUUUAGAUGGUCCAGCGCCUUGUCAGUCACAGAAAUUGCGGGGGCAAUACUCCCAGAUGUAGGUGCUGUGGCGGAGCUGCUGCAUCGGACGGAGAGGGACUUGAUCCGAGUGAGA